GACGAACGCUGGCGGCGUGCUUAACACAUGCAAGUCGAACGGGCCUGCCUGGCUUUGGUUGGGUGGGUGAGUGGCGAACGGGUGAGUAACACGUGAGUAACCUGCCCUCUUCUCUUGGAUAACUGCUUGAAAGGGCGGCUAAUACGGGAUGUUCUGGCUGCCUCGCAUGGGGUGGUUUGGAAAGAUUCGGCCUGGUUUUGGUUGUUUUGGUGGGGGAUGGGCUCGCGGCUUAUCAGCUUGUUGGUGGGGUGAUGGCCUACCAAGGCGGUGACGGGUAGCCGGCCUGAGAGGGUGGACGGUCACACUGGGACUGAGACACGGCCCAGACUCCUCGGGAGGCAGCAGUGGGGGAUUUUGCACAAUGGGCGCAAGCCUGAUGCAGCGACGCCGCGUGAGGGAUGGAGGCCUUCGGGUUGUGAACCUCUGUCGCCGGUGAUGUAGGCUCUGCUUUGUGGGUGGGGUG
rnacentral:rRNA from 1 species